rnacentral:lncRNA from 1 species
CAAAGAGUCGGACACGACUGAGCAACUGAACUGAACUGAACUGAUCCUUAUUCUUGUCGUAUUUUCUUGUCACUUAUCAAUAAUACUCUUUACGUGUAUCCAUAUAUUUUUAUUAUUAUUUAUUAUCCACCUCCUCCCACUAGAAUGUAAGGACUAUAUGAGCUGCGAUUUUUACCUGUUUCCUUUGCUCCUGAAUGCCAGUGCCUAGAACUGGACCUGAUAGCAGAUGUUCAGUAAACAUUUGCUAAAUGAGUGGAUAAAUAAAAAUGCACAAGAUCCUUCAGCAUUUGGACCAUGGCUUCAUCAGCUAUCACUCUCCCAGCCCUUAGUGCUUAGAUGCCAACAAAACAAAUGGCCGUUCGUUCUCUGGAAAUGCCAUGCUGCUCUUGUGUGCCACAGACUCUGCUUCGAGGCCUCAUUCAUCUGGAAUUGCCAUUUCAACAACCUCUCAGCCUCUUGCAAGAAGCAGCUCCAGCCCCAUCUCCCUUGUGAAGUCUGCCUCACCUCCCCAGGGGUCACUCAGGCACGCCUGCCUCCACAUUCCAGCUCCACCUGCAGAAGUGCCUUCCAUGCUGGCUAUUUUUCAGUGCCACUGGGAAAAGCCAAGCAGAUAUGAACAGAUGCUUGAAAGACCAAAUUCUAAUCUAAAAAAGAUAGAAACCUGAGUAGUGGCAUACAUGAAGAUCUGGGCUGUCCUCUCAUCUGUGCAAAGCAAGAUUUUGAAGUUGAGAGAACAGAAUUUCAACUUGCUAAUAGCAAGCUGGUAUUUAGCACAUAUUUCCUUUAAUACUGUUAGAUAACAGUUAAUAAUAUUUAAAAAGAAAUACAACUUGUGAAACAUAGAGCAUAUGGCUCUUUCAGAAUCAAAAAGAAUAUCUGCAAAGUCACACAUUGCCAACUUUAUUUAGUUGAAACCUCUUGUAACAGCUGAUAACUAAAGGGAAAAAGAACAAAAUUCUCCUCUGGUUUUCCAAAUUCCACCAAAUUUCACAUGAAGAGUCCCAAACACUUUGGCACCUGAACUGUAUUAGUUUCACGUUCUAUAAAAAUAUCUUUAUUAAGAAAUAAUUUUAAAUUGUAAUUUCAUUUGUUUUCAGAGGUCAAUAUAAGAAACCUUCACAGGAAAUACAUUUCUUUAUUAGUCUUAAACGGACUAUUGA